GUGUCAGCAGCCGCGGUAAUACGGAGGGGGCAAGCGUUGUUCGGAAUUACUGGGCGUAAAGGGCGCGUAGGCGGCCGGUCGCGUCAGGCGUGAAAGCCCCGGGCUCAACCUGGGAACUGCGCUUGAUACGGGCUGGCUUGAGAUCGGGAGAGGAGUGUGGAAUUCCCAGUGUAGAGGUGAAAUUCGUAGAUAUUGGGAAGAACACCAGUGGCGAAGGCGGCACUCUGGCCCGUAUCUGACGCUGAGGCGCGAAAGCGUGGGGAGCAAACAGGAUUAGAUACCCCCGUAGUCC
rnacentral:rRNA from 1 species